AUUCACUUAAUAAAUAUGAGAUUUCAGAAAAUAAGUCUUACAAGAUCUAAACUGAUGUACUUUUUAUAGCAGAGCCAGCGCGGCCGCAGGCCGCGCGCGGAGCUCCAUAGGUAUAGAAAUAUGGUAUAGCUUAAGCUAUGCGACUUGGUUUUGUGGUCAUCGCGCGGGUAUCCUGUGGUGUGACAAUCCAUCCAUCCAGUCAAUCGUGCAAAUCCCAGGCCCCCUCGGUCUUACUUUUUACGUAUUUUUAUUUUUUACCGCCAUCAAAGUUCGUAUGUUCACAGCAAAAAAGGCAGAUUGAAAAUAGUAUUUAAUGAGAAAAUAUGCGGAUUCAAAUGGGCUGAAAUCUUUGAGGAACCGUUUUGUCUGAAGUAUGAGCCGAUAGUAAAAUCUACCCGAGUGUUCGUGAAUCCCGUCCGUUGCAGCAGCAAAAAGAGGACUACUUAGAGGCUCUACACUACCAUUCUAAUAACAUUCCUUCACGUCUAUAUCUAUGGAGAUCUAUAAGGAGAUCCUGAGAAGAAAGGGCCUUGGCACUGGACGAAAUAAAGAAUUUAAGUGCAUUUUAGACAUAUCCGAAAUGUACCUUAAAUUUACUAUAGUCUAUAAGUUGCAUUUAAAGGCCACACUUAAAGUCAGUAGUAACUUUAAAAAGAUUUAAGUGUUUAUUUAAGGAUUAUUAAAUGUACUAAUAACUUUAAGGUCAAAUUAAAGUUGUCUUAAAGACAUUAGUAACUUUAAACAACUUUCUUGCUCUUUAUUGAUUACUUAAAGUUAUCAAGAUAUUUAAGCUAGACGAAAUAAAGAAUUUAAGUUACAUUUAAGUGGGGCUCUUAUAGUCAGUAGCAACUUUAAGUAGAUAUUGAUUGUUAACUUAAAUUCCUUUAAAUGUAGUAUUGACUUUAAGUAACUUUCUUUGCCUUUAUCGAAAACUUAAUCUUUAGGAGAUUUAAGUGUCUUUCAUUAGUUCUAAAUUUCAUCAUAUUCGUUGGACUUAGAAAAUAUUUUCCGUAGUUUAGAAGUUAAUUUAGUUUCUAAACAUUAUAUUUUUGGCUAAUAUCAGGAACGUUUUAUAAAACGCAUAUAAAUAGCUUUAAGAAUAUUCGGUUUCUUGUUUAACCAAGUGAUUUGUAUUUUGGCAGAAAGAAAAAGCGAUGAAAAAUUGAUAUUCGCAUUAUUUUAGUAUUACUUUGCCUUUAGCAGUAAUAAUAACAGCUUCACCGGCGGAGAGGAAGUCAGUCAUACACGAGAGGAAGUGACGCGCAAGCGUAUCUAUUGUUUUCCCUUCACGUGACUACCACGGCGGGCUUUUCGCAUAGCGUGUUUAGAAGUGUGACUUUGGUUCAUCUAACUUCUCUCUAAAUCCACGCCAAAAGAUGCGCUAUUUCUUUCAAUGACAUCAAAUCAAAUGGCAAAGCCUACCAAUGAAAACAUGUUGACCACAUAACCUUCAAGUUUGGAGGAAAAACAGAGCUUUAAAUGCGGGAAAUCAGCGACUGCGUGCGUGAGGUGAGAAUUUUAACAGUGAAGACAGAACUCGCUGAAAUUCUCGCCGAAAGGGAGCCUCAGAGACUUUCAGCUGCAUUUAACAGUAUUUCCAAAGCCUGAAGGAUGACAUAAAUAAAAAGUAUGAUGGGACACUGGAUGCUCAUAGGAAAUCAUGCAGACAGUACCAGACGGUCAUCAUAAAACAGCAGAAAGUCCUAAAUGCUGUGGAGACUAUUAACUGGCCAGAGAAGAAAAAGAAGAGGUUUGCCGAUGUUCUGAAUGAUGUACACAACAUUUCAUCGGAGAAGAGCGAGGAAGAGGGAGAUGGGGUUGUCUUCUUCUUUAAAUCAUUGAAGUGGGAAAAAAAACAUUGAUUAUUUCCUACUUUCAUUAAUAUGCUUUUGAGUCAAGCUGACUGUUUGAUUUUUGUUCUACAUUAGUUUUCGUAGUUAGCAUUUUAUCACAUAAAAGAUAGCUUUUUAGAUGUAAGUUAUAAGAUUUGUAUAUCAAAUCAGAUUUCAUGCCAUUAUGCACAUGUAAGAGACGACUAAGGAUUUAAAUAAAAAUAGAAUGGAAGCUUAAUAUUGAUUGUGUCUCCCUGCUCAAAAAUUAUUAUGAUGAUGUGGAUUAAACUAUGCAAAAUUCUCAGUGC